GAUGAACGCUGGCGGCGUGCUUAACACAUGCAAGUCGAACGGGAAACCUUUUAUUGAAGCUUCGGCAGAUUUAGCUGGUUUCUAGUGGCGGACGGGUGAGUAACGCGUGGGUAACCUGCCUUAUACAGGGGGAUAACAGUCAGAAAUGGCUGCUAAUACCGCAUAAGCGCACAGAGCUGCAUGGCUCAGUGUGAAAAACUCCGGUGGUAUAAGAUGGACCCGCGUUGGAUUAGCUGGUUGGUGGGGUAACGGCCCACCAAGGCGACGAUCCAUAGCCGGCCUGAGAGGGUGAACGGCCACAUUGGGACUGAGACACGGCCCAGACUCCUACGGGAGGCAGCAGUGGGGAAUAUUGCACAAUGGGGGAAGCCCUGAUGCAGCGACGCCGCGUGAAGGAAGAAGUAUCUCGGUAUGUAAACUUCUAUCAGCAGGGAAGAUAAUGACGGUACCUGACUAAGAAGCCCCGGCUAACUACGUG
rnacentral:rRNA from 1 species